rnacentral:rRNA from 1 species
UGAGGAAUAUUGGUCAAUGGGCGGAAGCCUGAACCAGCCAUGCCGCGUGCAGGACGACGGCCCUACGGGUUGUAAACUGCUUUUCCGGGGGAAGAAUAAGGGCGACGUGUCGCCCGAUGCCGGUACCCCGGGAAUAAGGAUCGGCUAACUCCGUGCCAGCAGCCGCGGUAAUACGGAGGAUCCGAGCGUUAUCCGGAUUUACUGGGUUUAAAGGGUGCGUAGGCGGGCCCCUCAGUCAGCGGUGAAAGUCUGCGGCUCAACCGUAGGAUUGCCGUUGAUACUGGGGGCCUUGGAUUCGGUCGAGGCGGGCGGAAUGCGUGGUGUAGCGGUGAAAUGCUUAGAUAUCACGCAGAACGCCGAUUGCGAAGGCAGCUCGCCGGGCCGAUAUCGACGCUGAGGCACGAAAGCGUGGGGAUCGAACAGG